GUUAUCUCAGCUGUGAAACCAUGCUUCCUGACUCUCCUGCUGGCUAGAGGUUGUGGUUACCAUUUGCCCUAUUCCUAAAGAAAUUAUUUCUCCCAUCUUGACUAUUGGCUGUUCUCUCCUUCCCACACUAGGCCUCUGGUGUGCAGGUCAAUUUUCCUUCUCCCCAUCCAGUGAAUGAGAAACACCAUCGAGUGGAACUGGAUAUUCCUGCUGAGAUUCAGGUACUCUUGAGCUUGGUGUGCCCUAAUGAGGAAAUUUUCUCCAGAGUAACUCGUCAUUCUAUGGGAAAUCUGUGCUGUUUCUACCAGCAGGACUGUGGCUAGGAGAACAAAACCAAGAAAGGAAGGAAGAACAAAUGGAGAAGAGAUCCAAGUCAGCUCAAAUUUUCCCUAUGCAAGGCAAGCCAGCUGCUGGAGUGCAAAGAAGAGAAAUCAAUUGAUAAAAUUUAAGAGUUGGAAGUGAUCUUGAGCAAUUUUCUGGUCUUGUUCCCUGCUUCUAGAUAGGCCAUCCGUGAAGCUUUAUUGAUGAAGGAAGACUAUAUGGACAAUAACAUUUAGAGACCAUGAUAGGGUGUCAAUAAAGGGAGAAGUGAGAAAAAGCC